rnacentral:misc_RNA from 1 species
UCUCCGUAGGUGAACCUGCGGAGGGAUCAUUACAGAGUUCAUGCCCGACCGGGUAGAUCUCCCACCCUAUGUUAUUAUUACUUUGUUGCUUUGGUGGUCCGUUAGUCUCCGGACCGACUACCGGUCCCGGCUGGUAAGCGCCCGCCAGAGGACCCAAAACCCUGAAUAUUAGUGGCGUCUGAGUACUAUAUAAUAGUUAAAACUUUCAACAACGGAUCUCUUGGUUCUG